rnacentral:lncRNA from 1 species
UCUGGGUGUCAUGGUGGGAUCUGUGGGGCUGGGGGGGAUCUGUGGGUCUGGGGUCUGUGGGUCUGGGGUCUCUGUGUCCCCGCUCUCCCUGUGUCUCAGUGGGUCUGGGGUCCCAGUGGGUCUGGGGUGUUGGUGUCCCUGGUGUCCUGGUGUAUUUGUGGUCUGGGGUCUCUCUGUAUUUCUGGGUCUGGGGUCCUGCUGUCUCUCUGGGUCUGGAGUCUCCGUGUCCCCGCUCUCCCAGUGUAUUUCUGGGUCUGGGGUCUCCAUCUCCCCGCUCUCCCUGUGUCUCGAUGGGUCUGGGGUCUCCGUGGGUCUGGGGUCUCAGUGGGUCUGGGGUCCCACUCCUCCCGGUGGGUCUGGGGUCCCUGUGGGUCUGGGGUUCCACUCUCCCUGUGGGUCUGGGGUCUCUGUGUCCCUGCUGUCUCAGUGGGUCUGGGGUCUCCGUGUCCCCGCUGUCUCAGUGGGUCUGGGGUCUCCAUGUCCCCGCUGUCCCUGUGGGUCUGGGGUCUCCAUGUCCCCGCUGUCUCAGUGGGUCUGGGGUCUCUCUGUCUCUCUGGGUGUGGGGUCUCUCUGUAUUUGUGGGUCUGGGGUCCCACUCUCCGGGUGGGUCUGGGGUCCCACUCUCCGGGUGGGUCUGGGGUCCCACUCUCCGGGUGGGUCUGGGGUCUCUCUAUUUCUGGGUCUGGGGUCCCACUCUCCGGGUGGGUCUGGGGUCUCUGUGUAUUUGUGGGUCUGGGGUCUCCGUGUCCCCGCUGUCUCAGUGGGUCUGGG